rnacentral:rRNA from 1 species
GUAGGUGGCAAGCGUUGUCCGGAAUUAUUGGGCGUAAAGCGCGCGCAGGCGGUUUUUAAGUCUGAUGUGAAAGCCCACGGGCUCAACCGUGGAGGGUCAUUGGAAACUGGAGAACUUGAGUACAGAAGAGGAAAUCGGAAUUCCACGUGUAGCGGUGAAAUGCGUAGAGAUGUAGAGGAACACCAGUGGCGAAGGCGGCUUUCUGGUCUGUAACUGACGCUGAGGCGCGAAAGCGUGGGGAGCAAACAGGAUUAGAUACCCUGGUAGUCCACGCCGUAAACGAUGAGUGCUAAGUGUUAGGGGGUUUCCGCCCCUUAGUGCUGCAGCUAACGCAUUAAGCACUCCGCCUGGGGAGUACGGCCGCAAAGGCUG